UUUCCGUAGGUGAACCUGCGGAAGGAUCAUUCAUAAUAAGUGUUUUAUGGCACUUUUUUAAAUCCAUAUCCACCUUGUGUGCAAUGUCAGGGUUGAUUUUUCUCUCGAGAGGAUCAACCCCAAACAUCAACUAUAUCUCGACUCUUUGUCUGAAAAAUAUUAUGAAUAAAACAAUUCAAAAUACAACUUUCAACAACGGAUCUCUUGGCUCUC
rnacentral:misc_RNA from 1 species